AUCGCUUCUCUGCCUUUUGACUAAGAUCAAAUGCAGUAUCUGUUCUUAUCAGUUUAAUAUCUGAUACGUCCCUUAUGUGGGAACCAUAUAUUAAAUGGAUUUGUAGAACAGGGAGAUGGAAGAAGAGCUUGCUCUGUCCAAUCCAUGAGUCGGCCUGCUAUUGCAGAACCUCCAGAACCGGUGCAAAGAAA